GCCCCUGUAGCCCAGCGGUAGAGGCAAGCGACUUAAAAUCGCUCCAGCGUGGGUUCGAACCCCACCGGGGGUAC
rnacentral:tRNA from 1 species